rnacentral:rRNA from 1 species
CAGUAGCCGCGGGAAUACGUAGGUGGCAAGCGUUGUCCGGAAUUAUUGGGCGUAAAGGGCUCGCAGGCGGUUUCUUAUGUCUGAUGUGAAAGCCCCCGGCUCAACCGGGGAGGGUCAUUGGAAGCUGGGAAACUUGAGUGCAGAAGAGGAGAGUGGAAUUCCACGUGUAGCGGUGAAGUGCGUAGAGAUGUGGAGGAACACCAGUGGCGAAGGCGACUCUCUGGUCUGUAACUGACGCUGAGGAGCGAAAGCGUGGGGAGCGAACAGGAUUAGAGACCCGUGUAGUCCCUGUCUCUUAACC